rnacentral:rRNA from 1 species
UACAGAGGGUGCAAGCGUUAAUCGGAAUUACUGGGCGUAAAGGGCGCGUAGGCGGUGAGAUGUGUGUGAUGUGAAAGCCCCUGGGCUUAACCUGGGAAGUGCAUCGCAAACUAUCUGACUGGAGUAUAAGAGAGGGUGGCGGAAUUUCCGGUGUAGCGGUGAAAUGCGUAGAGAUCGGAAGGAACGUCAAUGGCGAAGGCAGCCACCUGGCUUAAUACUGACGCUGAGGCGCGAAAGCGUGGGUAGCGAACAGG